rnacentral:rRNA from 1 species
UGGUAGUCCACGCUGUAAACGAUGUCGAUUUGAAGGUUGUUCCCUUGAGGAGUGGCUUUCGGAGCUAACGCGUUAAAUCGACCGCCUGGGGAGUACGGCCGCAAGGUUAAAACUCAAAUGAAUUGACGGGGGCCCGCACAAGCGGUGGAGCAUGUGGUUUAAUUCGAUGCAACGCGAAGAACCUUACCUACUCUUGACAUCCAGAGAAUUUAGCAGAGAUGCUUUAGUGCCUUCGGGAACUCUGAGACAGGUGCUGCAUGGCUGUCGUCAGCUCGUGUUGUGAAAUGUUGGGUUAAGUCCCGCAACGAGCGCAACCCUUAUCCUUUGUUGCCAGCGAUUCGGUCGGGAACUCAAAGGAGACUGCCGGUGAUAAACCGGAGGAAGGUGGGGAUGACGUCAAGUCAUCAUGGCCCUUACGAGUAGGGCUACACACGUGCUACAAUGGCGUAUACAAAGAGAAGCGACCUCGCGAGAGCAAGCGGAACUCAUAAAGUACGUCGUAGUCCGGAUUGGAGUCUGCAACUCGACUCCAUGAAGUCGGAAUCGCUAGUAAUCGUAGAUCAGAAUGCUACGGUGAAUACGUUCCCGGGCCUUGUACACACCGCCCGUCACACCAUGGGAGUGGGUUGCAAAAGAAGUAGGUAGCUUAACCUUCGGGAGGGCGCUUACCACUUUGUGAUUCAUGACUGGGGUGAAGUCGUA